rnacentral:rRNA from 1 species
CCUACGGGCGACAGCAGUGGGGAAUAUUGGACAAUGGGCGAAAGCCUGAUCCAGCCAUGCCGCGUGUGUGAAGAAGGCCUUCGGGUUGUAAAGCACUUUCAGUGGGGAAGAAAGCCUUGGGGCUAAUACCCUCGAGGAAGGACAUCACCCACAGAAGAAGCACCGGCUAACUCCGUGCCAGCAGCCGCGGUAAUACGGAGGGUGCGAGCGUUAAUCGGAAUUACUGGGCGUAAAGCGCGCGUAGGCGGUCUGAUAAGCCGGUUGUGAAAGCCCCGGGCUCAACCUGGGAACGGCAUCCGGAACUGUCAGGCUAGAGUGCAGGAGAGGAAGGUAGAAUUCCCGGUGUAGCGGUGAAAUGCGUAGAGAUCGGGAGGAAUACCAGUGGCGAAGGCGGCCUUCUGGACUGACACUGACGCUGAGGUGCGAAAGCGUGGGUAGCAAACAGGAUUAGAUACCCCAGUAGUC